rnacentral:rRNA from 1 species
GAUGAACGCUGGCGGCGUGCCUAAUACAUGCAAGUCGAGCGAACGGACGAGAAGCUUGCUUCUCUGAUGUUAGCGGCGGACGGGUGAGUAACACGUGGAUAACCUACCUAUAAGACUGGGAUAACUUCGGGAAACCGGAGCUAAUACCGGAUAAUAUUUUGAACCGCAUGGUUCAAAAGUAAAAGACGGUCUUGCUGUCACUUAUAGAUGGAUCCGCGCUGCAUUAGCUAGUUGGUUAGGUAACGGCUUACCAAGGCAACGAUGCAUAGCCGACCUGAGAGGGUGAUCGGCCACACUGGAACUGAGACACGGUCCAGACUCCUACGGGAGGCAGCAGUAGGGAAUCUUCCGCAAUGGGCGAAAGCCUGACGGAGCAACGCCGCGUGAGUGAUGAAGGUCUUCGGAUCGUAAAACUCUGUUAUUAGGGAAGAACAUAUGUGUAAGUAACUGUGCACAUCUUGACGGUACCUAAUCAGAAAGCCACGGCUAACUACGUG